GCUCUAGUAGCUUAAAUCUCUAAAGCAUUGUUCUUGUAAACCAAAGCCGGGACCCCCCCCUAGAGCA
rnacentral:tRNA from 1 species